rnacentral:rRNA from 2 species
AGCAUAUUAAUAAGCGGAGGAAAAGAAACUAACAAGGAUUCCCUCAGUAACAGCGAGUGAAGCGGGAACAGCUCAAAUUUGAAAUCUCCGACGCUUGCGUCGGCGAGUUGUAGUUGCGAGAAGCACUUUCUAGGCGGAUCGGUGGUGCCUAAGUUGCUUGGAACAGUACGUCAUAGAGGGUGACAACCCCGU